rnacentral:rRNA from 1 species
AACGAACGCUGGCGGCAGGCUUAACACAUGCAAGUCGAACGAUUAAAGCCCCUUCGGGGGUGUAUAGAGUGGCGAACGGGUGAGUAACACGUGGGCAAUCUGCCCCUCACUUCGGGAUAACUCAGGGAAACUUGAGCUAAUACCGGAUACUCCGGGAAGGUCGCAUGGCCAACCCGGGAAAGCUCCGACGGUGAGGGAUGAGCCCGCGGCCCAUUAGCUUGUUGGUGAGGUAACGGCUCACCAAGGCCACGAUGGGUAGCCGAGCUGAGAGGCUGAUGGGCCACACUGGGACUGAGACACGGCCCAGACUCCUACGGGAGGCAGCAGUGGGGAAUUUGGCGCAAUGGGCGAAAGCCUGACGCAGCAACGCCGCGUGCGGGAUGAAGGCCUUCGGGUUGUAAACCGCUUUCAGCAGGGAUGAAAUUGACAGUACCUGCAGAAGAAGCCCCGGCUAACUACGUGCCAGCAGCCGCAGUAA